rnacentral:rRNA from 1 species
GCAAUGUCAUCUGGGGGAUGGCUUGGCUCAGGCACUGAGGAAGGUCGUGCCAAGCUGCGAUAUGCUCCGGGUAGGCGCAAGGAGCCUUUGAUCCGGAGAUGACCUAAUGGGACUUCCUGUCACGGUAAACCCGUGACGAUCCCGCAUGGGAUCGGGAACGCGGGGAACUGAAACAUCUUAGUACCCGCAGGAAAAGAAAGCAAUUGCGAUGCCGUGAGUACUGGCGAAAGAAAGCGGCAGAGGGCAAACCGAAUCUUUUGUGAGAGCAAAAGAGAUGUGGUGUGUGGACCCCGUUACUUCCUCGUCGGUGAACGCGAAGUCGCCUGGAACGGCGCACCAGAGAGGGUGAUAGUCCCGUAACGGUAGACCGAACGGAAGAAUGCGGGUGUUCCCGAGUAGCGCGCACCGGAUAUUGCGUGUGAACGGGAGGCAUAAACUCCCAACCCUAAAUAUGUCCUGAGACCGAUAGCGCACUAGUAGCGUGAGUGAAAGCUGAAAAGUACCUCAAAGAGAGAGGUGAAAAGAGCCUGAAACCAGAUGAUUACAGACGUAUAGGGCGUGAAAGCGUUGCACUCCUGCUUGCAGGAGGAAGGCAGCGUCCUAUUAUACGUUUCGAAAAACGGGCCAGGGAGUUUCUGCUGGUGGCGAGGUUAACCUCGGAAGAGGGAAGCCGUAGCGAAAGCAAAUGCCCGCAGGCGACGAGGGGCGAGGUGUGUUCGCCUUGAGUCACUGGCAGAUGACCCGAAGCCGGUCGAUCUAUGCGUGGCUAGGUUGAAGCCUUCUGAAAGGGAGGUGGAGGACCGAACCGGUGCUGAUUUACAAAUCGUUCGGAUGAGCUGCGUAUAGGGGUGAAAGGCCAAUCUAGACCGGUGAUAGCUGGUUCCCCCCGAAACAACUUGCAGGUUGACCUCUGGCGAGGUAGGUAGUGUGGUAGAGCACUGAUUGGACGGUUAGGGAGGGAGACCUCUCGCCGCCCUGUCAAACUCCGAAUGCGCUACCGCUGUAGACCCAGGGAGAAAGGGCGCCCGGGGUAAGCUUGGUGUCCGAAAGGGAAUGAACCCAGCUCUACGUUAAGGUCCCCAAGUGUCGGCUAAGUGUGACCUAAAGGGCGUUCACAUCCGAAGACAGCCAGGAGGUUGGCUUAGAAGCAGCCAUCCUUCAAAGAGUGCGUAACAGCUCACUGGUCGAGGGUGUGGGCACCGAAAAUGGACGGGGCUCAAGCCGACCACCGAUACGUAGACAUGAGAAUGAGUAGGGGGGCGCUGUGCGUGGGCAGAAGGUGGGGUGCAAGCUCCACUGGACCGCGUACGGUCGAGAAUCCUGGCGAUAGUAGCAGCAAAGUCGGGUGAGAAUCCCGACCGCCGAAGGGGCUAGGGUUCCUUGGCAAUGAUCGUCAGCCAAGGGUUAGCCGAUCCUAAGACCUGUCCUAAAUAGAACAGGCCGAAAGGGAAGCAGGUUAAUAUUCCUGCGCCACUGUAGUCCCUGCUUCAUAUAUGACGCAUCCGGAUAGGCCGAGUAGUGUUGUCGCACUAUUCAAGCGUUGAAGCCUGGGGAGUACCGUAAUGGUGAGAACCGGGCGAAUGCGUGACGAGGCCUCCAAUUGAGGGGGCUUCGGCUGAUUCCCGGUGCCCGUGAAAAGUAUAUGAAGGCCAACUGCAGUGAUCGUACCGAGAACUGACACAGGUGCCCCUGGGUGAGAAGCCCAAGGCGUGUCGGCGUAAUCCACCUGAGGGAACUCGGCAAAUUAGCCCUGUAACUUCGGGAUAAGGGGUGCCUGCCUUGUAAAAGGCAGGUCGCAGUGACCAGAGGACUCCGACUGUUUAAUAAAAACACAGGUGGCAGCUAGCCCGUAAGGGUGUGUAUUGCCGCUGAAGCCUGCCCAGUGCGGGUAUCUGAAAGCCUCGUACAAGAGGAAGAAGGACCCGUAAACGGCGGGGGUAACCAUGACCCUCUUAAGGUAGCGUAAUACCUUGUCGCUGAAUUGGCGACUUGCAUCAAUGGUCCAACGAGAGUCUUACUGUCCCCAGGUGGAGUCCGGUGAAAUCGACUUACUGGCGCACAGUCCAGUACCGUCCAGCUGCAAGAGAAGACCCCGUGGAGCUUUACUACAGCCUGUUGCUGGGAUACGGUCUUGAUAGUGCAGAGUAGAUAGGAGCCGUCGAAGCUCAGGCGCCAGCCUGAGUGGAGGCGUCCAUGAGACACUAUCCUACCAAGGUCGUAUCUCUAACCUGCAAGGGGACACCAGCAGGUGGGUAGUUUGGGUGGGGCGCCACACCCCUGAAACGAUAUCAGGGGUGCCCAAAGGCCAUCUCAGCCCGGUCAGAAAUCGGGCCUAGAGUGUAAGGGCAAAAGAUGGCUUGACGCGAAUUCGCACAGCGAGAAUUCGCGAUGUGAAAGCAGGGCCUAGCGAACCAAUGCUUCUCAUUUAUGGGGGGCAUUGAUGACAGAAAAGUUACCCCAGGGAUAACUGAGUUGUCUCCAGCAAGAGCCCAUAUCGACCUGGAGGCUUGCUACUUCGACGUCGUCUCUCCGCAUCCUAGCAGUGCAGCAGCUGCUAAGGGUAGGGUUGUUCGCCCGUUAAAGCGGAUCGUGAGAUGGGUUUAGACCGUCGUGAGACAGGUUGGUUUCUUUGCGCUGGACGUGUUGAUGCCUGAAGGGAAAGGCCCCUCGGUACGAGAGGAACGGGGGCCUGUAGCCUCUGGUUUACCAGCUGUUCGACAGAGCACGCUGGGCGGCUACGCUGCAAGGGAUAACCGCUGAAAGCAUCUAAGCGGGAAGCCCACCCUAAAACGAGGCAUCUAUAGAGCUCGGAUAAAAGAUCCGGUUGAUAGGACUGGGGUGUAAGCAGCAAGCUUCGGCGAGCUGUUCAGCCCGCAGUUACUAACCGCUCUGCAGCUCUCGUU